rnacentral:rRNA from 1 species
UCCUACAAUCAUACCACCUCAGGCUGCACUCCCAUUUCAUAAGCUAAGUAGAGCUGAACCUGGAAAGUACUUGGAUGGGAGACUUUCAAGGAAAAAAUUAGCCUGCGGAAGGAA